rnacentral:rRNA from 1 species
GUAAUGGCGAACGAACAGGGAUCAGCUUGGGUUGGAAACCGGGGCUUCUGCCUUGGAUUGUGGCCUUUAGACAUACUACCAACGGCGGCGCGAGCGUAAGCCUCUUGGAACAGAGCGUCUACGUGGGUGAGAAUCCUGUAUUUCGCUUGAUGCCCGCCGUGCACGGUACUUGCUCUCAGAGUCACGCUCCUCGGAAUUGGAGCGUAAAUUGGGUGGUAAAUUUCAUCUAAAGCUAAAUACAGGCUCGAGACCGAUAGCAAACAAGUACCAUGAGGGAAAGAUGAAAAGGACUUUGAAAAGAGAGUUAAAAGUGCUUGAAAUCGCUGAACUGGAAGCGAAUGGAACUAGUGCUCUGGUUGAGAUUGCUGCAAGUGGCUGCGACAUCUGGGCUCUGGAACGCAAGUCCUUUGUCUGGUUUGAAGUAGUUGCUUGUAAUGUGUCUCAGCUUGAACAUCAGCGUCUAUGCAUACGUGAGGAUGGCCCUUAGCUCAUGCUGUGUUGCUGGGGCGAUACUCUUGUGCUUUUGGGGAUUCAGGUGUGUGUGGAUUGUUGAUCAAUUAGUUCCAUUCGACCCGUCUUGAAACACGGACCAAGGAGUCUAGCACUUGUGCAAGUUCUCAGGUGUCAAACCUCUGUGCGCAAUGAAGGUGACUGCUGGGAUUUUUUGCACCAGCAACCGACCAAUCAAUUGGGAGAAGUUUGAGUAAGAGCAUGUGUGUUAGGACCCGAAA